GCCCAAGAGAUCGGGAUAACACCUGGAAACAGAUGCUAAUACCGGAUAACAACAGAUGAUGCCUAUCAACUGUUUAAAAGAUGGUUCUGCUAUCACUCUUGGAUGGACCUGCGGUGCAUUAGCUAGCUGGUAGGGUAACGGCCUACCAAGGCGAUGAUGCAUAGCCGAGUUGAGAGACUGAUCGGCCACAUUGGGACUGAGACACGGCCCAAACUCCUACGGGAGGCAGCAGGU
rnacentral:rRNA from 1 species